CAGACUAUAGCGCAGUUGGUAGCGCGCGGGGCUGGGGGUCCUGAGGUCGGCGGUUCGAGCCCGCCUAGUCUGACUA
rnacentral:tRNA from 2 species